UACGAAGGGGGCUAGCGUUGCUCGGAAUCACUGGGCGUAAAGGGUGCGUAGGCGGGUCUUUAAGCCAGGGGUGAAAUCCUGGAGCUCAACUCCAGAACUGCCUUUGAUACUGGCGAUCUCGAGUCCGGGAGAGGUGAGUGGAACUGCGAGUGUAGAGGUGAAAUUCGUAGAUAUUCGCAAGAACACCAGUGGCGAAGGCGGCUCACUGGCCCGGUACUGACGCUGAGGUGCGAAAGCGUGGGGAGCAAACAGG
rnacentral:rRNA from 1 species